rnacentral:rRNA from 1 species
UACAGAGGUGGCAAGCGUUGUUCGGAAUUACUGGGCGUAAAGGGCGCGUAGGCGGCCUUCUAAGUCAGACGUGAAAUCCCCCGGCUUAACCUGGGAACUGCGUCUGAUACUGGGAGGCUUGAGUAUGGGAGAGGGAUGUAGAAUUCCAGGUGUAGCGGUGAAAUGCGUAGAUAUCAGGAGGAACACCGGUGGCGAAGGCGCUCAUCUGGCCCAAUACUGACGCUGAGGCGCGAAAGCUAGGGGAGCAAACGGG